AGACGCACUCGUGUCAGCAGCCGCGGUAAUACAGAGGGUCCAAGCGUUGUCCGGAAUCACUGGGUGUAAAGGGUGCGUAGGCGGGUCCGUAAGUCAGAGGUGAAAGCCCGGGGCUCAACCCUGGAACUGCCUUUGAUACUGUGGAUCUUGAGUCCUGGAGAGGCUGCCGGAAUUCGUGGUGUAGCGGUGAAAUGCGUAGAUAUCACGAGGAACACCGGAUGCGUAGGCGGGCAGCUGGACAGGUACUGACGCUGAGGCACGAAAGCGUGGGGAGCGAACAGGAUUAGAUACCCUGGUAGUCCACGCCGUAAACCAUGGAUGCUCGGUGGCGCGCCUAUUUGGUGCACUGCCUAAGCUAACGCGUUAAGCACUCCCACC
rnacentral:rRNA from 1 species